AAGACAUACGUGGGCGCGGGCGUGGGAGACCCAGUGAGUGUCGGUGAGGGGAUGCUGUAUGACGGGCGUGUGGGCGGCCAGGAGGAGCUUGAUGCAACACUUCUAGACGCCCAGGAGCUGAUCCAGGUCGAAGGGCUAGAACCAGCCCCGGACACGGUGUGAUGGUCUUCCUUCGACGUCAUGAGAAGGUUCCGCGCCCUGUGCUUCUACCUCAUCACCUCCCAGCUCAGUGCCCAGCCCGAAUCAAGGCCACAGUAAUGUUUGGGUUCAACUCUUCGGUUAUGGAUGACACAGCUGUGAGCACCACCUGGGCUUCCUCCAACCUCACCCCCGAGGGACCUCAGAACCUCACAUUUGACUUACGGCAGCGACCGGCCUCCAGCCUCCAGGUGGAGG